CAGCCGCCGCGGUAAUACGAAGGUCCCGAGCGUUGUUCGGAAUCACUGGGCGUAAAGCGUGCGUAGGCGGUUUGUUAAGUCUGUUGUGAAAUCCCCGGGCUCAACCUGGGAAUGGCAAUGGAUACUGGCAAGCUAGAGUGUGUCAGAGGAUGGUGGAAUUCCCGGUGUAGCGGUGAAAUGCGUAGAGAUCGGGAGGAACAUCAGUGGCGAAGGCGGCCAUCUGGGACAACACUGACGCUGAGGCACGAAAGCGUGGGGAGCAAACAGGAUUAGAGACCCGUGUAGUCCCUGUCUCUUAUAC
rnacentral:rRNA from 1 species